rnacentral:rRNA from 1 species
GACAGAGGGUGCAAACGUUGUUCGGAAUUACUGGGCGUAAAGCGUGUGUAGGCGGCCACGUAAGUCGGAUGUGAAAGCCCCAGGCUCAACCUGGGAAGUGCACUCGAUACUGCGUGGCUUGAGUAUCGGAGAGGUUGGUGGAAUUCUCGGUGUAGAGGUGAAAUUCGUAGAUAUCGAGAGGAACACCGGUGGCGAAGGCGGCUCACUGGCCCGAUACUGACGCUGAGGCACGAAAGCGUGGGGAGCAAACAGG